rnacentral:hammerhead_ribozyme from 1 species
CUUAGAGUACAUGGCCCUGUGGGUGUCAGCUGUCAGCCUCGCCCAUGGAGCCUCUGCAGGGCGGUCAGGGCAGGCACGUAGACAGGAGCAGGUACUACAGUAUAUAAAGCGUGCCGUACAAGGGAAGAGAUCACAGAACUGAUGCGGUGUUAUUUCAAUUGAUUUUGGUGUUGCAUUUAUACCUGCACAUGCUGAAAAUCAAUCGACCCUCUGUACCCUCGCCAUUCCUGCUGCAGCGCUGUUCGAAUGAAAUGCUUAUAUCAUUUUU